UGUUAGACUGGAUAUUGAAAGUUAAUGAGGCUGCAGCUAGAAUAAGUCACGUGUGAGACUGUGGAUGAAGCACAGAUGGCCGAGGAGGAUCACAAACAGCUUUCCUGUUGGAUGGAAGGUUAGGGAGCCAGCAGUGAAGUUCAGCCAGGACCUAGGUAAAGUGCUCAUUGGUUGGCUACCAGAAGAACUGUUCCACCUUUUAUGGAAAAGACAGGCAUCUUAAUUCUGAGGUUCUAAACAGCUUUUCUGCCCAUGGCCUGGAAACAGGGAACAGACAUUAGGAAGAUGUCUGUAGUUCCUCACUGCAUGGAAGAACAGAGACUCUUAAUCUUUUUCUACAAUCCAUCUAUGGCAGCAUUAAAUAUCUGCCAGGCUGUAGGGACCUCUGCACAGCACAGCAGAGAGAGAACCAGCCUGAGCUAGUCCAAAGAUCUGUUUGCUCCAGCAUCCUGUCUCUGAUGGUGAUAAAAUGACAGAGAACAAGAGCAGAACCAGCUCAACCUUCAAACAGUUUACAAGCAGCAACACUGAAUACAGGAGGAUGAUCACAUCUUUUAACUGGCUGGUCACGCUGUGUUUGGACUCUGGGCUGCCAGGGCACACUGCUGACUCAAACUGAGCCUGCUGCUGACCAGCACUCCCAGGUCCCUUUAUGUACAGCUGCUUUCCAGUCACUCCUCUCCCACUUUAUACUUAUGGCUGGCAUUACUCUGUCCUAGGUGUAGAAUCUGGCAUUUGGACUUGUUAAAUUUCAUUCCAUGAAUUGUUGCCCUAUGCUACAAUCUGUCUAGAUCCCUCUGCAAGCUGGUCAAGAGGUGAUUAUCCCACUGUAUUCAGCAUUGGUGUGGCCUCAUUUUGAGUACUGUGUGUGAUUCUGAGCCCCACAAUUUGGAAAAGGAUGUGAAGGUCCCUGAAUCCAGAGGAGUGCAACAUAGCUGGUGAAAGGGCUGGAAGGUGUGUCCUGUGAGGAGCAACUGGGAAUUUUGGUCUUGUUUGGUUUGGAGAAAAGGAGGCUGAGGGGCAACCUCAUUGCGCUCUGCAGCAAUAUGAGGAGGAAAAGUGGAGAGAGAGAUGCUGAGCUCUUCUCCUUGGGAUCCAGUUGCAGGGUGGAUUGGAAUGGUUCGAAGCUCUGCCAAGGAAGGUUUGGACAGAAAGCAUUUCUCUACUGUCAGGGUGGUCAAACACUGGAACAGGCUUCCUGGAGAGGUGAUGGAUGCCCCAAGCCUGUCAGUGUUUAAGAGGCGUUUGGAGUGCCUUUAAUAAUAUGCUUUAACUUCUAGUCGGUCCUGAAGUGGUCAGGCAGUUGGACUAGAUGAUUAUUCAUUAGGUCCCUUCUAGAGUAGAAACAGUCUACUCUAUUCUAGUCUUGUUGGUCUAGUCUAACAUUUUUAGCUUAGGGAUUAUAUGCAUUUAUACUGUCUCAGUGGAUUUGCGCAUGAACUUACCCAGUCAUUUUUUCACAUUUGUUGUAAAAUUUUAACAUAUAACACAUAUGAUAGUACAUUCUAUAUUUUAACUAUGUGCUGUUGGGAAUAAUCAGACCCUUCUGCCUAUUCUAAACUAGGCAACUGUCAGCUUUACUGAAGGCCUGCAGCCCUCACAUUGAGAGGAGCAGAGAGCAAUCAAUUCCUCUCUAUCUAUUCCUAUCAUUAUACACAGAUCUUACAGACCUCUGUUGCAUCCUAAUUUGUUGCAGGUUUUUUUUUGUUUUUCUUUUAGAAACCAUUGCAUAUUUUAAAUCAUUAUCUCUGUCCUUCUCUGAACCAUCUCUGGAAGGAAAAGGAAGGCCAAUGUUUUAUAUGGUGUUCAACCAUGAUCCUGCAAAAUUUGAGAAUGAUAGUAUCCAUGUUGCUAUUUAAUCCUCUCCUAGUAAUACCUAGCAUUCAUUUGCUUUUCUGACCACUACUGAGCACUGAGUUGGUAGUAAUCUUAACAGCACAUUCUGAUGGCUGGAAACCCAUUGUUCUACGUGUGAAUAUAGGGAUGUUUUCCCCAUGUUGCUGUAACUGUCAUAAAGAUACUUCGUUUCUCAGCAACUUCAUGAGAAAGCUCAGAUGUUGUUGCUUUUGUUUCAAGGGCUGAAAGUCAACUGUAGGAGAAAAUCAGAGUGGAAUCCUUAAGGGCACAAGAACUGAGUUUAAGCUGGUUUUAUAUUCUAUAAUCUCCAAGGGAUGUCAUAUUAUAAGGUCUGUAUUUUCCAUUUGUUUUUUCCUCUUUCAAAACUCUAAACUUUUGUUAUGCAUCUGUGACACUAAAUGCUGCCUAUGGGCAGCUGUCAAUCUUUUGCUGCAUGUUUGUGCAUUAAAUUUUACGUACUGUUAGACAUGAAAUGGUGUCAUUAAGAGUAAGCAGUCUUCCUCUCUAGUGUAUUGGAUACAAGACCAUGAAAAACAAGGAAGGAAAAUGUGUAUUUAAAAGAGACACAGGACUUAGGCUGUGCUAGCAAAACCUCUGCUUGUUGGAAUCCAAAACUCAACUAUCAGCAGCAAAGAAACUAAUAGGAUUAUGUAGCAAGUUGUGGACAGCAGGAGCUGGGAGAAACUCCUUGCUCUGAGGAGCUUCAUCACAAGACCUGUUAAUAUUUAGCUAUGUUUGAUUGUCCUGUCUCUUUCAGCAAGAUAUGAAAGACUUUGUGAUGAUGAUGUCAGACAAUGUAGAAACCCUUUUGUUCUCUUCCCCCCAUGUGGUCCUCGCUUCAGGAGAAUAUUAACCACCUUGUGU